UCAUUUUCAAAGGUUGACGUGAUCUGUCAUUGGAAUUUGCAAACUAAAAUACUUACUUUUUACUAAAUCAAUUAUAUUAUUCUGUAUUUGUGGUGAUUUCUUAGGCUCUUCAUUUUGCUAUUGGCAAAUUAAAACUAUCUAUUCCAAAUACAAAUUUUUUUUAGGUUAAAAAAUUAACAUUCUUUUGUUAUCACCCUUUGAAGAAAAACAUUUUUCUACAUGGUCUAGAGGUUUUUUCCUAUACUUGGGACGAAAAAAUUUAAUAUGCCACCUAAAAAGCAACCCGACAAAGGUGGUAAAGGCGGCGGUGCAGCUAAAAGUGGUGGUAAACCGGGCGGUGAUGCAAAAGAAUCAGCCGGCAAAGAAAAAAAAGGUGGUACAGCUGUCAAAGUACGUCACAUAUUAUGCGAAAAACAAUCAAAAUGUUUGGAAGCAUUGGAAAAAUUGAAAGCCGGUCAGAAGUUCCCUGAUGUAGCCGCUGCUUACAGCGAGGACAAAGCGCGUCAGGGCGGUGACCUCGGCUGGAUGACGCGCGGCUCCAUGGUGGGACCUUUUCAGGAUGCUGCAUUUGCAUUACCAAUAUCUUCUGUGACGAAUCCUGUCUACACAGAUCCACCUAUUAAAACGAAGUUUGGCUAUCACAUUAUUAUGGUAGAAGGCAAAAAAUGAGUGACACAGUGUUUGAGUUUGAAUAUUUCUGGGCGAUCCUUUUGUUAUUUAUAAUGGAGAGAAUUUGUUGUCUCCAAGAACAAUUUGAUAAGGAUUUUUCAUUGCUACCUGAUCCACAACGAUCCCUUGACUCACUUGUUUCUAAUAUUGAAGAUUUUGCAAAUAGAGAUUCUGGAUUAAAACUUAGUUUUCUAAGGCUUUAUCGGUUAAUGCAUAUAACAAUGUUGCUCACUUUGGUAUAUUUUUGCAAUGUGUGCCUUUGGUUCAUCAUGAUCAAGAAAGUUCCAACUCGAACCCUCAAGUAUAGAUUUAAAUUAUCGUUUCCAUCAUAAUGCUUUUCAGGAUAUAAUGGAAAUAGUCUGAAAUAAAUCUGUUUGUUACA
rnacentral:misc_RNA from 1 species